AUUACAGGCAUGAGCCACCAUGCCCAGCCCCUCAUUUUAACAUAUUUAAGGUUCAUGCAUAUUUGUAUUCAAUAUAAGAUUGAAUAUAAUCAAUCUUAUAUAUUAUGUAAUAUAUUACAUAAUAUAUCAAUAUAAAUCUUAUAUUUAUUAUUGGGAUCUUCCUAAUCUUAUAUAAAAUCUUAGAUAGGUUUAGGGUGAUAAACACUUGGCAAUCUGCCGGUAACAGGCAGACAAAAGUAUUUAAAAGUAAAGCGUAUUUUUAAUCUUUCAUCCUAACUGAAAUAGGUGAAGACAUUCUUAAUCUUAUAGCAAAAGAUGGAGAAGUGGCUGGGUGCAAUGGCUCACAGCUGUAAUCCCAGCACUUUGGGAGGCCAAGGUGAGCAGAUCUCUAGAGGUCAGGAGUUCAAGACCAGCCUGGCCAACAUAGCAAAACCCUGUCUCUACUAAAAAUACAAAAAUUAGCCAGGUGUGGUGGCGCACACCUGUAAUCCAAGCUACUCGGGAGGCUGAGGCAGGAGAAUCACUUGAACCCAAAAGGCAGAGGUUGGAGGCAGAGGUUGUAGUGAGCUGAGAUCACACUACUACACUCCAGCCUGGGUGACAGAGUGAAACUCCGUCUCAAAAAAAAAAAAAAAAAAAAAAAGGUGAAGUUAGGGAUAAAAUGUCAGCAUAGCAUCUUGUUGUGUGUCUCCCUUUUCAGUUUUACCCAAAAGGGGUUUCAAAAGACUCAGGCUGACAGAUUCCAGAGCAUUCCUUGUCCACCUGGAGGGACAGUCUAUCUCUUCUAGUUAAUUCCUGGAGUGCAACGCUAGCCAAUCAGGAGAGCAUUUCCUCCAUCUCUGGACUCAGACUAAUUGUUAAUCCACACACAAUUUCAAGGCCGUUAACCAACAGAAGAUUUCUUUGUACAUGCUCCUCAAAAACUGUCUCCAAGAAAUAGGAAUGUGAAAGGAGAAAGCUGUAUUAUUAGUAGAGACGGGGUUUCACCAUGUUUGCCAGGCUGGUCUUGAACUCCUGACCUCAGGUGAUCCGCCCACUUCGGCCUCUCAAAGGGCUGAGGUUACAGACAUGAGCCACUGCGGCUGGCCAUAACUUGUAAUUUUUAUAAUUAAUUAAGUACAUAUUAAGAGAUUAAUAACAUCUCUUAAAUAUAUAAGGAACUCGAACAACUCAAAUGCAUGAACACAACCUGAUUAAAAAUGAACAGAGGACCUGAAAAGAGAUUUCUCAAAAGAAGACAUACAAAUGGCCAACAGGUAUAUGAAAAAAAUACUCAACAUCACUAAUCAUCAGGGAAGUGUAAUUAAAACCAAAAUGAGGCCGGGCAUUGUGGCUCACACCUGUAAUCCCAGCACUUUGGGAGGACGAGGUGGGCAGAUCACUUAAGGUCAGGAGUUCGACACCAGCCUGGCCAACAUGGUGAAACCCUGUCUCUCCUAAAUAUACAAAAAUUAGCCAGGUGUGGUGGUGCAUGCCUGUAGUCUUUCCUAGCUACUCAGGAGGCUGAAGCAGGAGAAUCACUUGAACCCAGGAAGAGGAGGUUGCAGUGAGGCAAGAUCAUGCUGUUGUACUCCAGCCUGGACGUCACAGCAAGACUUGGUCUUAAAAAAAAAAAAAUGAGGCUGGGCACAGUGGCUCAUGCCUGUAAUCCCAGCAAUUUGGGAGGCUGAGGCAGGUGGAUCACCUGAGGUCAGGAGUUCAAGACCAGCCUUGCCAACAUGGCAAAGCCCCGUCUCUGCU
rnacentral:lncRNA from 1 species